UCAGGCCUAACACAUGCAAGUCGAGCGGGGUUUUCGGACAUAGCGGCGGACGGGUGAGUAAUGCGUAGGAAGCUACCCGAUAGAGGGGGAUACCAGUUGGAAACGACUGUUAAUACCGCAUAAUGUCUACGGACCAAAGUGUGGGACCUUCGGGCCACAUGCUAUCGGAUGUGCCUACGUGGGAUUAGCUAGUUGGUGAGGUAAUGGCUCACCAAGGCGACGAUCCCUAGCUGGUUUGAGAGGAUGAUCAGCCACACUGG
rnacentral:rRNA from 1 species